UGUUGUUGUUGUUCAUCUGAUCCUGGUUACAGGGGUUAUUCAGCUGUAUUGUUUCCCUCUACCAUUAUCUUUGGAGAUUUCCUGCAGAGAUUGUUAUCCACAUAUGGUUCCAAAGAGGGAGAAAGACAAUAGUCACUUU
ensembl:misc_RNA